rnacentral:rRNA from 1 species
UACGGAGGGGACUAGCGUUGUUCGGAAUUACUGGGCGUAAAGCGCGCGUAGGUGGAUUUGCAAGUCGGGGGUGAAAGCCCGAGGCUCAACCUCGGAACUGCCCUCGAUACUGCAAAUCUCGAGUCCGAGAGAGGUGAGUGGAAUUCCUAGUGUAGAGGUGAAAUUCGUAGAUAUUAGGAAGAACACCAGUGGCGAAGGCGGCUCACUGGCUCGGUACUGACGCUGAGGCGCGAAAGCGUGGGGAGCAAACAGG